AAUCACCUGGGUGGACGUAGUAGGUCUUGGGUGGGGCUAAGAGUCUGCAUUUCUGACAGGCUCCCAGGUGAGACCAAGGCUAGAGGCCACAUGGAUAAUAUGUGGGUGUGACUGCAUCAUGGCAGUUUCCCUUGGCACUCAGUGAACUUCAGACCAUAGUUCUUGAAGUGUCUUUCUAGACCCAAUACAUAUACUCGUCUGAACUGCUCUGUUUAUUCAGAAAAGGAACUUGUUUCCACACGACUCAUGCUUCAUUUUGGGGUAGUGGUGACAGUAUGCUGGAGGAGAUACACCUGAAAUGCAAUUUCGUAUUUUGAUGAAGCGUAAAACAUCUUUCUUAUUUUAUCCUCCUGGCCCCCCUUUUCCUUUUAUUCUCCUCUAUCCAGUGGCUUAAUAAACUGCUUAUUUUUGGUUUGUUUGUUUUUUACAGAGAUUCAAGUCCUUUGGGUAGGGAUGCUAUCUCCUGAGCAAUACACCAACCGUGCUCUCAAAGGAUAAAGGUCGGGCAUGACCUGUGUCAUGGUGGACUAAGACAAAGGGAAUGUCGUUUAAACCCAUGCAUUUAAGGAGUGAACCUGCCUUAGCCCUUAAGAUGAAUCCCCACUGAGAUGACUUCUGGAGCCAGUGAUGGAGAACAUCUUUCAAUACCAGAGAGGUUGUUUUUUCUCUCCUCCUGGUACUUUUCCCAUGAGAAGUUAAGUGCCCUUUGCAGUUUGAUGUUUCUGAGUAAGCCUGUCUCCCAUAUCCUGCACUGGGCUGCAUAUACUCACAGCACGUAAAAGUUGAACCAGUGUUUAUAGUAUCAAAGAAAUACCUAAAAGGAAGAAAGACAAACAGAACACCUGGACUCUUGAGGGCAUCUGGAAUUAAUACGGAAUUUGUUCCUGGUCAGUGCAUACAGUGUUGUUGCUGUGUUCUAGAAGGCAAGCCUGAGAGAACUGAAUUUUAGGAUAAAUGCAUGUACUGAUGAAUCAGAAAUAAGUGAAGAACUAGAAGAGAGAUGUAAUAGUAAAAAGAUCACUGAGAGAAAGAACAAUGGGAAUUUUAUUGCGCAACUGUGUGAGCUACUUCAAAGGAUGCUAUAUUUCAAAGGUCAACUAAGAGGAUAAGUAGAGGAAUAGAAGAGAAACGAAGGCGACUGGGAGGCAUGUUGGAAGAGAGGUAUUUUGGAAAGUCACCGUGCUAGGUACUACUGAUUGGAGUGAAACAAAUGUGGCAUUUUUGCAGCACAUAUGACUACUUUGUAAUAUUUGAGGGCACAAACUUCAUUCAAGAGAGACUGAUUCAACAUGUCUCAUGUAACAGGCAUUGUGUAACAAGAAAAAAGAAGACUGGCUUUGCUAGCUGAUGGCCCACAGCUGACAUUGGUCUAGCAGCACAUUGCAGGAACUGCCAAAGUCAGGCCUAAGAUGAAGGAAGAAUUGGCUAUCCCAAUUCCCAGUAUGCUGCCCGAAACCAUUGAAAGGGAGGGCAGCACAAGUGACUUACUAGCAUAGAUGCCUGAAGCAAGUGGAUUGGAUGAGCUGAAGAAGAGUCCAUGUGUCCACCAGGAGCUAUAACAAGGAUGAGCCAAUCCACGUGGCUGGAUCCUUUGUUCCUUGAGAACUGGAAAAUCAGGGAAAUCUCAAAAUUCUGUACCAUAUACUACGUUAAACAGGAGUAGAAGUAAACAUUUAUUCCUGAUACAGGAAAAACUUUUAACUUUUCACCACUGAGUAUGAUGUUAGCUGUGGGCUUGUCAGAUAUGGCAUUUCCUACAUUGAGG